rnacentral:rRNA from 1 species
AACGAACGCUGGCGGCAGGCCUAACACAUGCAUGUCGAGCGAGAUCUUCGGAUCUAGCGGCGGACGGGUGAGUAACGCGUGGGAAUAUGCCCUUCUCUACGGAAUAGCCUCGGGAAACUGGGAGUAAUACCGUAUACGCCCUUAGGGGGAAAGAUUUAUCGGAGAAGGAUUAGCCCGCGUUGGAUUAGGUAGUUGGUGGGGUAGUGGCCUGCCAAGCCUACGAUCCAUAGCUGGUUUGAGAGGAUGAUCAGCCACACUGGGACUGAGACACGGCUCAGACUCCUACGGGAGGCAGCAGUGGGGAAUCUUAGACAAUGGGGGCAACCCUGAUCUAGCCAUGCCGCGUGAGUGAUGAAGGCCUUAGGGUUGUAAGGCUCUUUCAGCUGGGAAGAUAAUGACGGUACCAGCAGAAGAAGCCCCGGCUAACUCCGUGCCAGCCGCCGCAGUAACAC